rnacentral:piRNA from 1 species
UUCUCGUGGAAUAAAUUCUAG